rnacentral:rRNA from 1 species
UAACUGUUUCCGUAGGUGACCUGCGGAAGGACAUUAC